rnacentral:rRNA from 1 species
GACGAACGCUGGCGGCGUGCCUAAUACAUGCAAGUUGAGCGCUGAAGGUUGGUACUUGUACCAACUGGAUGAGCAGCGAACGGGUGAGUAACGCGUGGGGAAUCUGCCUUUGAGCGGGGGACAACAUUUGGAAACGAAUGCUAAUACCGCAUAAAAACUUUAAACACAAGUUUUAAGUUUGAAAGAUGCAAUUGCAUCACUCAAAGAUGAUCCCGCGUUGUAUUAGCUAGUUGGUGAGGUAAAGGCUCACCAAGGCGAUGAUACAUAGCCGACCUGAGAGGGUGAGCGGCCACAUUGGGACUGAGACACGGCCCAAACUCCUACGGGGGGCAGCAGUAGGGAAUCUUCGGAAAUGGACGAAAGUCUGACCGAGCAACGCCGCGUGAGUGAAGAAGGUUUUCGGAUCGUAAAACUCUGUUGGUAGAGAAGAACGUUGGUGAGAGUGGAAAGCUCAUCAAGUGACGGUAACUACCCAGAAAGGGACGGCUAACUACGUG